UACGAAGGGGGCUAGCGUUGUUCGGAAUCACUGGGCGUAAAGCGCACGUAGGCGGAUGUGCCAGUCAGGGGUGAAAUCCCGGAGCUCAACUCCGGAACUGCCUCUGAUACAGCACAUCUUGAGUCCGGAAGAGGUGGGUGGAAUUCCUAGUGUAGAGGUGAAAUUCGUAGAUAUUAGGAAGAACACCGGUGGCGAAGGCGGCCCACUGGUCCGGUACUGACGCUGAGGUGCGAAAGCGUGGGGAGCAAACAGG
rnacentral:rRNA from 1 species